AUUGAACGCUGGCGGCAGGCUUAACACAUGCAAGUCGAGCGAGCGGCGGACGGGUGAGUAAUGUCUGGGACACUGCCUGAUGGGGGGGGAUAACUACUGGAAACGGUAGCUAAUACCGCAUACCAUCAGAUGUGCACAGAUGGGAUUAGCUAGUGGGUGGGGUAAUGGCUCACCUAGGCGACGAGCCCUAGCUGGUCUGAGAGGAUGACCGGACACGCCAGACUUGAGACACGGUCCAGACUCCUACGGGAGGCAGCAGUGGGGAAUAGUGUACAAUGAGAUCAAGCCUGAUGCAGCCAAGCCGCGUGUGGGAAGAAGGCCUUCGGGUUGUAAAGCACUUUCAGCGAGGAGUCGUUACUCUAAGAAGAAGCACCGGCUAACUCCGUGCCAGCAGCCGCGGUAAUUC
rnacentral:rRNA from 1 species